rnacentral:lncRNA from 1 species
AUAAUUCACCAAUAAUUAGUGAAUUGAUUUAUUGUAACUUUUGUAUAGGGUUAAUUAUCAAUCGAAUUGACUGUUUUACCCUAGAAUGAUUCUUAAUCAUUGAUCAGCCAUAUGAUCAAUCAGAAAUUUUUUUUGAAUGUGAUCCUAUAGGUUCGAACCUAAGCUAAUAGUAUAAGAAUAAUCUUCUUAUAUCAAUCAAAGUGACCAUCUAGCAAUGAUACCUGAUGUUCGGAU